CAGUAGCCGCGGUAAUACGUAGGGUGCAAGCGUUAAUCGGAAUUACUGGGCGUAAAGCGUGCGCAGGCGGUUAUAUAAGACAGACGUGAAAUCCCCGGGCUCAACCUGGGAACUGCAUUUGUGACUGUAUAGCUAGAGUACGGCAGAGGGGGAUGGAAUUCCGCGUGUAGCAGUGAAAUGCGUAGAUAUGCGGAGGAACGCCGAUGGCGAAGGCAAUCCCCUGGGCCUGUACUGACGCUCAUGCACGAAAGCGUGGGGAGCAAACAGGAUUAGAUACCCCGGUAGUCCCUGUCUCUUAUAC
rnacentral:rRNA from 1 species